UUAAUUGAAACCAAAAUAGAGGUAUAUUACUGUUAAUAAUAUCAUUGAAGAAUUCCUAUUCCAAUUAAG
rnacentral:tRNA from 1 species